CCUUUGUUGCCAGCGGUCCGGCCGGGAACUCAAAGGAGACUGCCAGUGAUAAACUGGAGGAAGGUGGGGAUGACGUCAAGUCAUCAUGGCCCUUACGACCAGGGCUACACACGUGCUACAAUGGCGCAUACAAAGAGAAGCGACCUCGCGAGAGCAAGCGGACCUCAUAAAGUGCGUCGUAGUCCGGAUUGGAGUCUGCAACUCGACUCCAUGAAGUCGGAAUCGCUAGUAAUCGUGGAUCAGAAUGCCACGGUGAAUACGUUCCCGGGCCUUGUACACACCGCCCGUCACACCAUGGGAGUGGGUUGCAAAAGAAGUAGGUAGCUUAACCUUCGGGAGGGCGCUUACCACUUUGUGAUUCAUGACUGGGGUGAAGUCGUAACAAGGUAACCGUAGGGGAACCUGCGGUUGGAUCACCUCCUUA
rnacentral:rRNA from 1 species